GAAAGUUUCCCAUUGAAUGUCCCCAUUUAGGUUAAAGCGGAGUGUAUUUGUGUUAGAAACGUCCCCAAAAGUCAUAAGCAUAUGGCAUACUAAUGACUAUAGUUGGAUAUGCCUUGCAUUUUUUUUUUUUUUUAAUGGUAUCAUGUCCCUAUUUUCUGUAUAAAUCUAUGCAUGAAGUCGGAGGACAAUUUAUCAAUGAUUCCCACACUCAAGUAAGGGUUAUGUUGUAAAAUCCUUCAUUAUGUCUAAGAUUUGAAAAUAUGGAACAAAUACCAAUCAGAAUGAGGACUAAGAUACAGCAAUCCAUCCUCAAGAUCAUUACACAUACUUUAACACAGGGGUCCCCAAUCCCAGUCCACGAGGGCCGGUGUCCCUGCAGGUUUUAGAUGUGUCCUUGAUCCAUCACAGCUGAUUUAAAUGGAUAAAUUACCUUCUCAACAUGUCUUGAAUUGUGAUUCAGGUGUGUUGACCCAGGGUGAGAUCUAAAACCUGCAGGGACCCAUGCUUUAACAUGAGCAAAUAUUUAAUAAUCAGAGUUCAUUGUGUUUACCAGUUCCCUAAGGAAAGUUUCCCAUUGAAUGUCCCCAUUUAGGUUAAAGCGGAGUGUAUUUGUGUUAACAACGUCCCCAAAAGUCAUAAGUAUAUGGCAU
ensembl:lncRNA